GCCUUCGUGGCCUAAUGGAUGCCUUGUCGGCCUCCUAAGCCGAAGAUUGCGGGUUCGAGUCCCGUCGGGGGUA
rnacentral:tRNA from 1 species